CCAAAAUGAGGGCUGAAUAUUCUGUACCAAAGUUGAAAGCAUAAUGAGAAUGCUGUUGGCAGAUGAAACUUUAUAAGCAAUUAGAACCAUAAAAUUUGAAGUCAUCUGUUAUUAAUAUCAGAAAGAAACAUGAAUUUAAAUAUACCAAAUUGUAUGCAAUCCUGAAACAUGUGAAGCAGCAUUUUUGGUACCAUCCCGAAUCGGCCGGUUCGAGGUGUGCCGAACCGUACUGGCCGAGAACCGAGACGGUUCCAGCGUGGAAAACGGCAUAUGCCGGUGCCGGGGAAGAAAAGAAAGAAAAAGAGGAAAAGA
rnacentral:lncRNA from 1 species